UAUUGGACAAUGGGCGAAAGCCUGAUCCAGCCAUGCCGCGUGUGUGAAGAAGGUCUUCGGAUUGUAAAGCACUUUAAGUUGGGAGGAAGGGCAUUAACCUAAUACGUUAGUGUUUUGACGUUACCGACAGAAUAAGCACCGGCUAACUCUGUGCCAGCAGCCGCGGUAAUACAGAGGGUGCAAGCGUUAAUCGGAAUUACUGGGCGAAAGCGCGCGUAGGUGGUUUGUUAAGUUGGAUGUAAAUCCCCGGGCUCAACCUGGAACUGCAUUCAAAACUACUACAGAGAUGGAGAGGGUGGUGAAUUUCCUGUGAGCGGUAAAUGCGCAGAAAGAAGAACACCAGUGGCGAGCGCACCUGGCAAUCUGCUCUGCGUCAAA
rnacentral:rRNA from 1 species